CAAAAAUAGUGUAAGAAAUCCCAGUUGCAUCAGCAGAUCUCAAAAAGGAAAGUGGAUGAUUGCUUCCGAAACAUUGCACUAUUUUCUAUAAGCUUCUUCUUCUUGCACUUCAGUCUUUCAAUUACUUUAUAUCGAAACGGAAAGAGAAUGAUAGCGCAUAAUGGUCGCACGUGGCACAAAAGCGCGCUGCAUCACAUAAAGGGAAUCUCUCUCCCCGCUCUUCGUCGAAAAUACGCAAUGUCUUUUAUUCCUAAGUUUCACGAUCGCAAAAGUUGCGCGAGAAACAGUCGAGUCUGCCAAAAUUUAAAGUGGUUCCAAAACGGAGUAUUGUACAAAACACAACGAGGCAAUUCGCUUCCGCAUGGGACCGACCGACUGUCUGCGACACUAAAAAGGACAGCCCGCGAUUCAGCCGAUUCGCCUCGACGUAGGAAGUCGAUGCGCGCUUUUUGUCAGUGAGAAACUUCUUUUCGUACGAAGCCAGAGACAUCGCGCUGCUCCGCACGUUUAGGAUCGCUUCGGGUACAACUUUAAUUUGUUCGUUACAUGGAUAAUUAGCAAAGGCAACGCGCCGUGACCAGGCCGAACCAGGAAUUUUGCGAGCGUAAUUAUUUCAGUUAAUGCCCCGGAUAUUUUUUAAAUGGCAGCGCGUUCCUAAUAUCGAGUAUAUUAAACUAUGUAUCUCGAAGAGCGAAAAGCACCGCGAAAAAUACAUCAAUUUGUCUAGCGGAAUUUCGUGGUUGGCAUCCCGUGAAAAGCAUAAAACUGCACGGCACUUACACAGUGGCAGCAGGAAGAUGGCUGCUCCUCACGUUCCUAAUAAUAAUAAUAAUAAGAGAGCCGGGCGAGCAGGACGAACAAAAGUACUGGAGGAAACGCGACCUACGUAGUACGUUGAUGCUCGACCGUUACUUAUGCUCGGCAUUUUGCCAGCAGCAAUGAAAAACAUCUCGGAAUAAUGUAACUUGCAUCCAGGGAAAAUGACGAGGCGUAGAUCUGUGUAUAAAUCGCUAUUGUGGCUUGUGCCACAGUUAUUUAUGCACGCGUCAUCCAGUAUAUAGCUCGACCGAUCGUUGAAGCUGACCACGCACAUCCCAUAGGCGUCAUUAUGUUCCCGAUUGAUUACACAAAUCGAUAACUCCGACUGAGAUUACUCGUCCUAUGAUGUGGUCGAACUUUUCGUACAAGUAGAUCGAUUCAAUGAUUACUGAUCAAUGAGCGUUCCUGUACGCCGGAAACCGCACGUUGGACGUCGCCUGCCAAGUUGCAGAUUCAUUUGUGUUAGCAAAAAAUCACGGAAAUAUUUUUCUCUCUCCUUGUCUAUUCAUACGCCACAUUUGGACGCGGGCUGAAUAAAUCUGGUUUCUUUUUCGAGCGAACGAUUUUUCAACCGAACAAUACGAGGUGCAGUGGAAAAAACUACCGUGCGCAAUUGCGUAGCAAUGAAUUUCCGAUUUAUCGUUCUGCUGUUGAUCUUUACACCACGGCCUACAUUUGCGGAAUGCAUUCCUGAUAGAACAAACAUUAUAUAUGUAGAUAAAUGUACGUGUACAUGUCGGCGCGAAGUAACUGACAUAUUUGAAACCCAUCAAAGCGACGUUUGUCGCGUAUAUUCAGAAAAAUAAAAUUGAUAAUUCCCACAAAAGAAAUACGACGCAAAUAUCGAGUAAGGUAAUGCCAAUUUUACGAUUUUCGUACAAAAGACACGAAUGUUUCAUUGUGGCAGAAAGAGAAUCAAGCACCUAGCACGAGGAUAUGAACAGCCGAACGACGAACAUCACCGUCAGAGAAGCAUAAAACUCAGCUACGAUGUCAUUCAUUUAAUGAAUCGGGGGGUGAGGUCGAAAUUUCGUUGGUGAGUAUCCAUCGUUUGCAGCCGCCACAAAGUCGAUGCACAUACAGUAUCUUUUUUUCGAUGGAUCGUAAAAGCUUGGAUAUUACAUAGCCGACUAACUGACUCAGAUAUUUGGAUAGUAUUAUAAAGAGAUGUCACGUUCCGUUCAUAAUACGUGUCUUUUCCACGAUUUUGUACGUCAAUGUAGCAUUAGUCAUGCAAUCUGUACUUCAAAUCUAGUUCUCAAAUACAAAACAUUUCUUACAAGAAAGCAUAUGCAAAAAUUACAUUAACUAUAUUGAAAAGCGUUAUGAUGCUUCUGCUAAUGGAUACAGCAGCUUUAAAUUUUUCCAUAAAACACACGCAUCGCUUACCGCGUAGCUGGUGCCUCCUCCAAUUUUAUAAAUGCAUUAAAUAAUUAGUUGCAAACUUCAUCAUCUACAUUCAAAAAUUAAUUUCAUUAUCGACUUACUCAACGAUACUGAUGGUCGCGCUAUAUAUUCGAUUUUUAUGUUUCUAAAAUGCAUAAAACAGAUUUCGUUAAACAGAGAUUUUACGCAGCGCGGCAUACUUUGAACCUACGGCGAAACUAAGCUAAUAAUAUUUUCCAAUGCUAAAUUCAAACGGAAUCGUGGAGCGUCAGGCUCGUAAAUAAUUGUUUUCUACCGGUAUAAUUUACGUCUCGUCAAACAUACAGCUGCGCGCUGUACAGUUAUUUGUAUUAUGCGAAACGUCAAAUAGAAUUUCUGUUUUAAUUAAUAUCCUCUAUACAAACA